CACACCCAAAUUCUUGAUGAACCGACUCCAGUCAGAGAAGAGUUGCUAGAUGCAAUUGUGGCAAAGAAAGCUUGUGUCCGGAUUAGAUCAAAGUUUCUUGUCACAUCUUAAGCUGCCACUGGAAGAUCAUCCAAUGCUCUUUUCAAGGCUUUUGAACCAAACAAAUGGAAAAUGUGAAGUAAACCCAGAUUUCGUGAAGUGGUGUAGCUGUUAAAACCAAAUCCAAAAUAUAAACUUAUCUAUGCAUCAUGUGUUGGCAGCAAAGUUUAUACUUCCUUCAAAUCAUUAAGCAUAUUUCACUGUAUGUUUUUGUGCAACUCUCUAAAUUAUCUUUUUAUUGUUACAGUGGAUGCUUUGAAAGCCAACACUGAGUAUAAUGGUAUAUUGGUUAUACAGAUGCUAUAUAGCAUCAUCAAGUGUUGUUCAAUGGUUUUAGAAGGUAAUGACAUGAACAUGAAUGGUUAGUUAAUGUGUUAAGCACAAUCCAUGUUUGUAGUUUUCUUAUAAUUUGUGCAUUAUGUUAGUGAA